rnacentral:miRNA from 1 species
AUAAAUAAAUAGAUAAAUAUUUUAUUAUAUAUAUAUAAAAUAUAUGUAUAUAUACAUACAUACACACACACAUAUAUAUAUGUGUGUGUGUAUGUAUGUAUAUAUACACAUAUU